GAUUACCAUUUAAUUAAUUGUACGUACAGCAGUAUAUCGAUUUAUAUCUACACUUAAAUGUACAAAGUUUGAAUUGUUUUCAAUUUAACCCUCAAAAUUCAUAAAGCCUUUUUCAAAUUAAAAGGUAACUGAGGAAGUGGCUGCUCUUAUAUUAUUAAACGAGAAGAAGAAGAGCGAGAAGAAGCAAAGCGUAAGAUGCAAGCAGAGGAGGAACGUAAAAAGCGCGAGGAAGAACGUGAUAGACGAGCGGGGAUGGAACAUCUUGAAAAGGAGAUAACUCGUCUCAAAUCCAAACCGGACAGUCAACUGGAUUCUAUUCAAACUGUUUUCAUUUUCGAUGAACACUUGUCUAGCGCCGAGGAAAAUCAGCGCUUUACGGAAAAAAUCGUACCAAUGAUGUUGUCAAGACUUUUCGAUGAAAGUUCGGAACUGGUUCAUUUGGUAGCAUUCGUUAGAUAUAA